CAAUAGCGUAUAUUAAAGUUGUUGCAGUUAAAAAGCUCGUAGUUGGAUUUCUGAUGUCUUUUCAAUGUCCUUCUUUGCUUGCCAAGUGCAAGUGUUGGGCUUGAUGGAUAUCUUCUUUCUCCGCAAAUUUGCCUUUGACGCAUUAAUUUGCAUCUGGGUGAAUGGGGAUCAUUUACUGUGAAAAAAUUAGAGUGUUCAAAGCAAGUAUUAAUUUCUUGAAUACAUUAGCAUGGAAUAAUAAGAUAGGACUUGGGUACUAUUUUGUUGGUUUGCAUACCUAAGUAAUGAUUAAUAGGAACAUAUUGGGGAUAUCUGUAUUUUUAGUCAGAGGUGAAAUUCUUGGAUUUAAGAAAGACAAACUACAGCGAAAGCAUUUAUCAAGGAUGUUUUCAUUGAUCAAGAACGAAAGUUAGGGGGAGUCGAAGAUGAUCAGAUACCAU
rnacentral:rRNA from 1 species